GAACCUCUUUGGCCUCUGGAUCAAACUGGCACGAUCUAAUCUCAGCCUUUUGUUUACUUGACUUUUUUAAAUACACUUGGCAACGCGUUUGACUGAUGCCUACCAUGCGCGCGCUACUGGACCACUUGAUGUGUCCACGUCAUUUAAUGAAGCAGAUCGUGCACUCCUGAUUUUUUCUCUUUUUUUAAUUUUUGUUUUAUUUUCU
rnacentral:lncRNA from 1 species